GACAGAGGUCUCGAGCGUUAGGCGGAAUCACUGGGCUUAAAGCGUGUGUAGGCGGAUGUCUAAGUACCUUGUCGAAAUCCCGACAGACUUAACUGUGGAAUUGCUUGGUAUACUGGAUGUCUUGAGCCAGCUAGGGGCAACCGGAACAAAUGGUGGAGCGGUGAAAUGCGUAGAUAUCUGGAGGAAUACCGGUGGCGAAGGCGGCAUCCUGGACCGGCAUUGACGCUGAGGAGGCGAAAAGCUAGGGGAGCCAAACGG
rnacentral:rRNA from 1 species